AGCAUGCAUUGUGGUUUUGUUGAACUAGUGGACAAAAACAGAGGAGAUACUUGCAAGGGCCUAGCUUCUUUUACAACCAGAACCCAGCGUUCAGAAUGAGUACUGAUACAUACAAGAAGGGCUAUA